rnacentral:lncRNA from 1 species
UAUUUUGAAAGUGUAGAUAUCUUCGCGGAGUUAUAAACCGUUUACAGUCUUAAAAGGUAUCCUAAUAGUGAAAUAUUGUCAAAUUACAAUCACGGACAAAGAUUCGUUUCAACGACGGUGAGAGAGAAUCUUCGGUAUCUCCUCAGAAGUCCAACAAGACUCGUCGUUAAAUGCGAGAUGAAAAAUGAAGCGAUUUCAUCGUGAUAUAUCGUGAGCAAUAUAUUGCGAUUUGUUCCUUGCAAUAACCAAUUUUUUAUCAAAUUUUAUUGGGACAAUGUUAUCGUCAGAUGAGUUCGUUAAGGAGAGAGGGAAGAGGAUGGCUUGAUUACUAGAUGAUCGUACGAGAGCGAGAAGGAUAAUAGUCGAGAAAAGUGUGGAGAUGCUGGAAGCGGUGAAGAAUGGAGAUGAAUUGUUGUGCACAUCCUAGUGGGGGCUAUAUACUAUAGGAUAGAACCAAAGGGAUACGAUCCACUAUGAAAGGAGAGAUAGUGAUGAUUUAUGUACGCCAUGCAGGUUCAAUUUGUAUCACGUCAGGUUUUACCGACUGAGACGUGUAGCUACGUGGACAACUGAAUUAUUGUUCGAACUAGAAUCGAGAUAUUUAUAGAUAGAAAUAACUGAAACGAUAUGUACGAUCGAAUCAGGAAGAUUUUAAACGAGUGUCUUGUUCAAUUUUGUGUCUUUAUUACCGUCUGAAUUCCCAGUUGAAUC